CCUCCAACUGUACCUACUGCUUCUCUUUGCCAGAACAUCACAUAACUAAAGAAAGGRGCUCACCUCUUGUAUGCAGUUAGAGGGUCAUCAAAUGCUUCCUUCUGGACUUUUCCACUGUUGCCUAGAAGGAACACAAACCGUUCGUUAUUCCUCUGCUCAGGUCCUGCUCACCAUGGGCUCUGCACAGAGCUAGACUUGAACCUAUUUUGUAUACAGGGCUCAGAUCAAACAUUUUGCGCGAUGAAUCCCGUACGCCGUUCAAGGGGAGAAUUGUUUCUUAAACGCUACGUUGCCUUGAAUCGCGCCUGCAGCGGUGCCAGGCUCCAGCAAGAGACGGUAGCAAAGCCCAGCUCCUCUCCCUCGGCUUCCCUGCUCCGCUCGCCUGCUCGACCCGUGGGUGAACCCGCUGCGUGGGAAGCGAUCCUCAGCGCAGAACCAGACUACAAGGUAAGAAAAAACACUGAAACAAGAUACAAUGCUUUCAAUAAUCCGCACAAGGGUCAAUCCAGGGAGAUAAUAUUUUACAUAAUAUGAUAUACAUGGAGCAGAAAUGGAGAUUUAGAAAAACAAAGACCAACUACAGGGUAGUGUAAUGUACAGAGAUCCCAAAACUCCGGYGAGUGUCGCUUUGCCCGGCUUGCCUGCUGCUUCUCUGCAGUCCCCUCUCCCGCGAGAAGGAAGGGCAUUUUUAACUUUUGAUUCGUUUUAUUUUGUAUUACRGAGCGAGCCUACAGAAUAGCAAGGAUACAUUUUUAACAACAAUAAUUACUUAAAAAAUAUCUCCAUCCAGUUCCAAACCAUAGAGAAGUGAAACCCUGACAAGAGCACAUCUUAAACCAAAACAAAACAACAAAAGAAAAACCAAACGAACCAAAGGUAGCUGGAGAUCACGGUUUCAGAGUCCCAGGUCAGAUUAACCCUUUCUUUCUCCUUUCUUUCGGUGGGUUUAAAAAAAUCUGUUUUUGCAGUGAACCAGCUCAAGGACUCUCAGGAAGGGAGGGACAGAGAAUUCUUCUUGUAUUCUGAGAGGGGGGGAAAGACUAACACAGUGCAUGCCACAGUCACAGAUAGUAAGAUCACAAUUAAUUCGAGGAUGUGAUCCUAUAAGGGGUCACCUGCAUUAACAAGUUUGUAACGAGGUGGUGGAGUCUCUUCCACAAGCAGAUCUUGUUACUGGAGGAGGAAGCGUUGUGCUGCAAACGAACAGAAAAAUAGAAGAAAAAAACAAAACCAGAAAAAAAAAAAACAGGCCUUCUGAACGAAAACCACCAUUGUAAACUGUCCAGUUUAUUUAAAAAAUGACUACAACAGAGACAACAUGAGAUUUCAUAUCUAGACUAGCUUCCUGGUGUCGCACGGCACAAACAUACAACAGGGUUCUGUUUUUGUUUUUAUUUAAAAGAACAAAGCAAAGAGAUUGGAGUUGGGUGCUAGAGGCUUCCAUUUGUUUCCAAAAAGAAGUGUCAUGUACAUAUAUAAACCCUUCUGCACAAAGAAGGAUCUUGUCAUGUCUUGAAAUAUUUUAAGUUUUGUCCUUCAUGUUUUAUGGAAUAAAAAGUUCAGCCUUUUUAUUGCA
ensembl:lncRNA